rnacentral:rRNA from 1 species
AUUGAACGCUGGCGGCAGGCUUAACACAUGCAAGUCGAGCGGGGGAAGGUAGCUUGCUACCGGACCUAGCGGCGGACGGGUGAGUAGUGCUUAGGAAUCUGCCUAUUAGUGGGGGACAACGUCUCGAAAGGGAUGCUAAUACCGCAUACGUCCUACGGGAGAAAGCAGGGGAUCUUCGGACCUUGCGCUAAUAGAUGAGCCUAAGUCGGAUUAGCUAGUUGGUGGGGUAAAGGCCUACCAAGGCGACGAUCUGUAGCGGGUCUGAGAGGAUGAUCCGCCACACUGGGACUGAGACACGGCCCAGACUCCUACGGGAGGCAGCAGUGGGGAAUAUUGGACAAUGGGGGGAACCCUGAUCCAGCCAUGCCGCGUGUGUGAAGAAGGCCUUAUGGUUGUAAAGCACUUUAAGCGAGGAGGAGGCUACUUUAGUUAAUACCUAGAGAUAGUGGACGUUACUCGCAGAAUAAGCACCGGCUAACUCUGUGCCAGCCGCCGCCGUAA